rnacentral:lncRNA from 1 species
AAUAUUUUAUAACGCAGGAAGCACAGGAAAAUGUCAAAACCGGAAGUGAUGACGAAACAUGGCCGUCGGCAGUUCCAGCGCCAUCAGCGAGGCGCGAGGGAGGCAGCACGUGUUUGCGUGCACUUCCGGGACACUUGCGUUCUCCGCGGGGCAGGAAGCCAGCCGCACGCUGACUUGCUGGUGGCUGAUUGGCUGGGAAACCGGAAGGUCCUGCUGACGUGGAGAAAGCUGGAACUCUGUGUGGGAUCAGAGUCAGCGUGGCGGGGAACUCGGGGCGGUUCACGUUUCCGUCGCGGGGCUCUGGGUGUUGGGUCUAGAGGCAGGUUGAAGUCCGUGGCCUCGUUCGCGGAUUUUAACGCUCUUAGAGUAGAGGAAGAGUCUAGAUGUUCACAUUGUUUACUUUCGUGGUGGUCAUCCAUAUCCACUUUAAUAACGAUUGUACUCUCGUCAUAAAAUUAACUGGAAGAGGAGGAUUCUGGGAAUACGGAGGAGUAGGAAGCCCAGGAAUCUGUCUCCCACUGAGGCAACAAUUGCACUGGCAGAAUCUGUCUUCUACAACUAUUUUGGAAGUCUGGAAUCUACUGAUGUCUCGCAACUUCCGGAGGAAAGUCCCAGGGCAAAUGCUGGCAAAUUUUGGUCAAUUUCAGCUGUUAGAGCACAGCUCUUCCCCCUCCCCCAGCCAUAUGGAAGGCAGCUGUGCACAUGUUCUUGGAGGAGCUCGCAUGCAGUUUGUUGGAGGCAGCGUGGGAAAAACAAAAAAUCAAAAACGAAAAAAAGCCCUGUUCUCCAAAUAUUGGGAAUCUGUGCUCUGAUUGCUGUUUUACAUUUUGCCUAUCGUAUGUAUAAAAAUAAAGAGAGGAUGUGAAAAAAGCUGACGGCACUAUUGCUUUUUCCCCAUUCCUCUAUGCAUUUCAAGCAACGCAUUGUCUAAAUUUUCAGAUUAUUUUAAUCGAUGGCAGACUUGUCAGGAAAAGUAUGAAGAAUGCCUAAUUUCUGAGCCUUUGCUCUUUUGAGGAAAACACGUUUGUCUGCUGCUGACACACAUAAAUAAAAAUGUGAGUAGCAUUUGGGCAUCACACGCUGUUUUUUGUUUUUUGGGGUUUUUUCCUCUGCAC